rnacentral:rRNA from 1 species
GACGUAGGGGGCGAGCGUUAUCCGGAUUUAUUGGGCGUAAAGGGCGCGUAGGCGGUCCGCAGCAGUGGCGUGUGGAAUCCCCCGGCUCAACCGGGGGGGCCGCGCCAGACGGGCGGACUUGAGGUGAGUAGAGGGUCGGCGGAACGGGCGGAGUAGGGGUGAAAUCCGUAGAGACCGUCCGGAACACCGUUAGCGAAGGCGGCGACCUGGGCUCAUUCGUGACGCUGAGGCGCGAAAGCGUGGGAGCGAACGGA